rnacentral:lncRNA from 1 species
GUUUCUUUGGAAAACCAUGAAACAGAUCUGUUGGAAAACCAUGGCAUUCCUUCUUUCAGAGAUGUGACAAGCAUGAUUUAUGGUAACUAUAUUGAUAAUCUCUUGUCACAAAGGGUGCCGUGGGAUGAAUAGGAAGUGUUUGGUCAGAGUUUCCUGGUUGGAUGUAGUGGUGAUGGUAGAAGCAUAUAAAGAGCUACUAAUUUUAAAAUACUUGGGGUGGAUCUUACAGACCAGGCUAUUGAAUUUAUUGCCAUGGUACCAUGCUACAAAUUGCUGUGGUAUCCAUGGAUAUUGUAGCAAUAAAUUCAAUAGCCUGAUCUGUAAGACACACAUCACAAAGGCUAAGGUGUACGGCUAAUGUAUUGUGAUAUGGCCAUAUAUCAGAAAAGCUAAGAUAUUGCUAAGGUAUUAAUGGAUACCUUAGCAAUACCUUAGCCUUUUUUGUGAUAUAUAUUGUAUACUUGAAUAUAAGCCAAUCUGUAUAUAAAUUGACCCCCCCCCCCGACUUCAGA